GGGGUGUGCUUAGAGCAGGGGAUAUUGAAAAAAUGGCUCAUCUGUUUACAGCACACCCAACAGGGAUCUGGGUUAUUGUGAUAAGGGGCACAAAACUUGGCAUUCCUAUGAACAAAUAGUCUGCAUGU
ensembl:snoRNA small nucleolar RNA, H/ACA box 11